rnacentral:rRNA from 1 species
CCUACGGGAGGCAGCAGUAAGGAAUAUUGGUCAAUGGGCGCAAGCCUGAACCAGCCAUGCCGCGUGCAGGAUGAAGGCCCUCAGGGUUGUAAACUGCUUUUCUCAGGGAAGAAACCCUCGUUUUCUAACGAGGCUGACGGUACCUGAGGAAUAAGCACCGGCUAACUCCGUGCCAGCAGCCGCGGUAAUACGGAGGGUGCGAGCGUUAUCCGGAUUCACUGGGUUUAAAGGGUGUGUAGGCGGGCAGGUAAGUCAGCGGUGAAAGCCCCGAGCUUAACUUGGGAAUUGCCGUUGAUACUAUCUGUCUUGAAUGUUGUGGAGGCGAGCGGAAUAUGGCAUGUAGCGGUGAAAUGCUUAGAUAUGCCAUAGAACACCGAUUGCGAAGGCAGCUCGCUACGCAACCAUUGACGCUGAGGCACGAAAGCGUGGGGAGCAAACAGGAUUAGAUACCCUGGUAGUCCACGCCCUAAACGAUGAUCACUCGACAUUGGCGAUAUACUGUCAGUGUCUAAGCGAAAGCAUUAAGUGAUCCACCUGGGGAGUACGACCGCAAGGUUGAAACUCAAAUGAAUUGACGG